UAGGGAAUCUUCGGCAAUGGGGGCAACCCUGACCGAGCAACGCCGCGUGAGUGAAGAAGGUUUUCGGAUCGUAAAGCUCUGUUGUAAGAGAAGAACGUGUGUGAGAGUGGAAAGUUCACACAGUGACGGUAACUUACCAGAAAGGGACGGCUAACUACGUGCCAGCAGCCGCGGUAAUACGUAGGUCCCGAGCGUUGUCCGGAUUUAUUGGGCGUAAAGCGCGCGCAGGCGGUUUAAUAAGUCUGAAGUUAAAGGCAGUGGCUUAACCAUUGUUCGCUUUGGAAACUGUUAAACUUGAGUGCAGAAGGGGAGAGUGGAAUUCCAUGUGUAGCGGAGAAAUGCGUAGAUAUAUGGAGGAACACCGGUGGCGAAAGCGGCUCUCUGGUCUGUAACUGACGCUGAGGCUCGAAAGCGUGGGGAGCAAACAGG
rnacentral:rRNA from 1 species